AGUGAACGUUGGCGGCGUGGAUUAGGCAUGCAAGUCGAGCGAGAACCGUAGCAAUACGGGGACAGCGGCGAAAGGGACAGUAAUGUGUAGGUACCUACCUCCGGGUUCGGGAUAGCUGCGGGAAACUGCAGGUAAUACCGAAUAACGUCUCCGGACCAAAGGUGUGAUUCCACCUGGAGAGGGGCCUGCAUCCUAUUAGCUUGUUGGCGGGGUAACGGCCCACCAAGGCGACGAUGGGUAGCGGGUGUGAGAGCACGACCCGCGUCAUUGGGACUGAGACACUGCCCAGACACCUACGGGUGGCUGCAGUCGAGGAUCUUCGGCAAUGGGCGCAAGCCUGACCGAGCGACGCCGCGUGCGGGAUGAAGGCCUUCGGGUUGUAAACCGCUGUCGUAGAGGAGGAAAUGCAGGGGGGUUCUCCCCCCUGUUUGACCUAUUCUAGGAGGAAGGACGGGCUAAGUUCGUGCCAGCAGCCGCCGUAA
rnacentral:rRNA from 1 species